UCCGAGCGUGUAAUAUCCCGGACUCGGACGAAUAUAUGGUGGCAGCAGGAAGUGCCGUAGGUGGCAGGAAGUUGUGAGGGCUUGGUCAGAAGGUUCGCAACCGUGUCGAGUUCCGAAAGUUUAGGAAAGGAGAAGAAGUGAAAAAGAGAAAAAUGUUACGAAGUCAAACGAAAGACAGAGAGCAGUGGUGUUUUGCGCUAAUGACGCCAGCGCCCGCCGUGCUUCAACCUGCAAUCGUUAGUUGCUUCGCCUACUAGUUGGGCCUCACAUCUCACGCGCUGCUCAAUAAGCGCGACGGGCAAAUGAAAACCUGAACCGCGACUUUGCUAGUCUAUCAUCGAACUCUGGGUACGAUCUGACUGUCACUCGAUAUGUGUGUAUCUGUGUGUAUGUGCGAUGUGUUAGUCAGAGGACUAUAGACAAGUGUGAGUGCCACUACCGUUCUGGAAUUUUUCUUCAUCUCCAUACGAUUCAUCCAGAUCAUCAACACGAGCGCUCGGAGGUCGCUGUUUUUCCUGUACGAGAUGCGAAAGCUAGCGGAUGUGCACUGACGGAACUCUCUCCCUCCCAGUGCUACACUCUGGAACAAUCAUGAUCUACACAUCAUUCAGUUUUGGACCCCCAUCAGUUCCUACUGUUACCAGUGUCAGUGUUUAGUGUGCGUUUUUUGAACACCGUUGUAUUACGGAAUUACAAAUUGGAUUACGGUGAUUGAAUUGCGUCCAAUUUAUUCACUUUCUAUUUUCGGCUGAUUGUAUCAGUUCUGUUUUUGCUAUCCGAAAUAGUUUUUCAUUCGAAAUCAAGUAUCCAUAGCGAACCAAAGAAAGUAGAUAUAAUAGACUAUGUGUCAACCAAUUACGGGUUCCGUUUAAUUGAAGUUAAUUGAAAGUUUGACUUUUGUGCUCAGUGUACCGAUAAAGCCAAUAGUGUCUUAAGUGCUGUGAACAGAGUUCGAAACCGUUUCAUUCGAAUGCGCACAAAGUUGAUUGGUUAAAUUUGGCUACGGGUUAGAAUAGAAGUGAAAAAUAUACCCGGGACUGGAAGACGAAAUACACGGACACUUGUUGAACAGUGUGAUGUAUGUACAUAUGUAUCUUCGAGCGAGCUAAAAAAGAUUACGCCUUAGAGACAGACACAUUUUUACAAAAGUUGCGAUUUGGCAGAAUGAAUAACUACAUCAUCAUCAUCAGUAGGAAGAAAAAAAAACAACAGUGACUACAGAAAUUCUUUGCGAUCUGGGACACUCAUCACCACCAAGAGAGUCGAAGCGAAAAAGAGUAUAAGCACGUGUUUCCCGUUUCCUACAUGGCACACUGCACACAUUACUCGGCUGGUCGGAUCCGCUGGCAUCACUGAACCACCUUUGCCAACGAUCAUCAGCUGUGCAUCAGCUCCGCCAGAAACAAUCUUAUAUGCACCAGAUCAGACUCAUCUGUUAUAAUCCGCAUUGUAUCGAGAACUAUUAGUUUCAGAUACCAAUCGGAUUACCUUAUAAGCGAACAAUGAAUGGUAUUAUCAGUUUUGUAAAAUUCAUAUUGCCAUUUGAAAACUAUUAUAACCGGUCUCAGUUCAAUCCGGACCAACGCAACACAGCAAUCUGAAACCUGGAACCACAUCUAGGAUGGCUAGCCUUCACGGAACAAAUCGCGUUUUUCGCGUUCACGGCCAUUCCACGAUACGUACCCGUGUCUCCGGUUUCGAAUAGUUGGCGAACAACUAUUAACCGAACGCCAUUGGGCCACAUUCCAUCACGACCUGGCCUGCUGAGUGUACCUGAGCCGAACCGAAUGAAUGGAUCAAGCAAAAGGCACAUUCUCAUUAAAAUUCAAUGAAUGUUGAGCUCAGCACCCGUACAUCGAAAGCUUAGAAAAUGGUUCACAGCCAAGCCAAACCCGUUUCAGGAGGCAGUAAAUCUCAACAACACUCAUAUGCCACAUCCCUUGUAAUGCGUGGUUUUCGUUUUACGACCAUUGUGUAAAAUGUUUUGAAGACAAAAAAGGGUUAACCUGUUAUUAAUAAUACAAAUAAACCCCGUUCCCAUGGAUCUUGGCAUUGGUUUAUCGCUAGUGUGAAUCGGUACGCAUUUGAGUUUUUUUUUCAUCUGGUCACCGGGUUAUGGACACACUUAACCAGACAACUGUCUACGGAAUACCUAAUCAGAGAGUCGAUGUUCAAAAAGAUAUAUACAUGAGCUCUUUUGUGUUAUUUACCUAAGCAAAUGAUCAAUUGUCUGCCGAGUUCCUGUUAUUUUUGCUGAACUCAUGUCCGUGAUUCAUUCCAUCGGAAUGUUUGAGCACAGUGCUGGAAACGUCAUCCUGAAUGCCAAAUAACCUAGGCUGUAAUCGGAAUUUAAACUGUUGCCGUUUACCUCUAAAUCAACGGACUCAACCUGUUAAACCGGACAGCAAUAAUCAAUGUUCACUUAUGCAUUCCAUUCACAGACAACGACUUUGCUGGGACGGAACUCCCUCCGUUAAUGCGCGAACUUCACAGCUUGACACCAUAUUAGGAUUAUUGGUUCAUACGCAUACAUCACCGCCUUGCAACCGCUUCUAGGUUUGUUAUUGAUUCAUUCACACUACGACUCACGUAUCUACCCGACGAAAGAUGACUAUAAAAGUGAUUACUGCUUUGCGGAAUGUGGUUUGCCUUUACCAUAAAGGAUCAAUAGUGUACAUUGGAAACUGGUUACGUAAUGGCCGGCACGUUCAUACGUAGCUUAAGAUUUCGUGUGCUACUUAUGACUUAUUCAAGACUUGUUAGCUGCAAACGCAACCGUCUGCCUUUAUAGUAGGAGUCUUCAUUGCUACCACCGACGUAAGAAGCCUUUUUUCAGAAUACUUGAUCAUGAAAUAAAUGUUAAUAAGAUCCAUGGAA